rnacentral:misc_RNA from 1 species
GUAUUUGUCACGUUUAUCAGACGCGAUAUGAUGCCAUUCUGUCAUACUUUGAGUGUGUGUGAAAAUAUUCAUAGACGAGGGCAUUCGUCACCCAUCAGGGCUCCGUGAUCAUCCCAAGCUACAGGCGGUGCACAGGUGUGGGAGGUGGAUGUGAUCAGGGUGUGCACAUGCCCCUGGAGGCCAGCUACAACCCUUCUCGACAAACAUUUCAUUAAUGAUCCUUCCGCAGGUUCACCUACGGAAA